rnacentral:sRNA from 1 species
UACUUAAAAUAAGAAAAAGGGGCUAUGCUCGAACAUAGCCCCUUGUAGAACCGUUAAAAAGACGGUGACUUAAAAAUAAAUGAUUUACUC